rnacentral:rRNA from 1 species
GCUAACUCGGGGCAAGAGGCCGGGGUAGUACGGGGGGUGGAAGCGUUAAGCGGAAUUACUGGGCGGAAAGGGCACGCAGGUGGCGAAUGAAGUCGAAUGUGAAAGCCCUGGGCUUAACCUGGGAAUUGCAGUCGAUACUGGUCGGCUAGAGUAUGGGAGAGGGUAGUGGAAUUCCCGGUGUAGCGGUGAAAUGCGUAGAGAUCGGGAGGAACAUCAGUGGCGAAGGCGGCUACCUGGCCCAAUACUGACACUGAGGUGCGAAAGCGUGGGGAGCAAACAGGAUUAGAUACCCUAGUAGUC